rnacentral:rRNA from 1 species
GACGAACGCUGGCGGCGUGCUUAACACAUGCAAGUCGAACGGAAAGGCCCUGCUUUUGUGGGGUGCUCGAGUGGCGAACGGGUGAGUAACACGUGAGUAACCUGCCCUUGACUUUGGGAUAACUUCAGGAAACUGGGGCUAAUACCGGAUAGGAGCUCCUGCUGAAUGGGGGGGGUUGGAAAGUUUCGGCGGUUGGGGAUGGACUCGCGGCUUAUCAGCUUGUUGGUGGGGUAGUGGCUUACCAAGGCUUUGACGGGUAGCCGGCCUGAGAGGGUGACCGGCCACAUUGGGACUGAGAUACGGCCCAGACUCCUACGGGAGGCAGCAGUGGGGAAUAUUGCACAAUGGGCGGAAGCCUGAUGCAGCAACGCCGCGUGCGGGAUGACGGCCUUCGGGUUGUAAACCGCUUUCGCCUGUGACGAAACGUGAGUGACGGUAAUGGGUAAAGAAGCACCGGCUAACUACGUG